rnacentral:misc_RNA from 1 species
GCAAACUUGGUCAUUUAGAGGAAGUAAAAGUCGUAACAAGGUUUCCGUAGGUGAACCUGCGGAAGGAUCAUUACCGAGUUUUUGAGAAUCUUUUGAUUCUUCAACUCUCACCCUUUGUUUAUUUAGACAUUUUGCCUCGUCAAGUUUUUUAUGAAUUUUUUUCAUAAAAGGGGGAAACCCACUUGACGAAAGGCUUUUUUCAAAUUCUUGAAAGAAAAGAUUUUCUGAAAAACAUUUAAAUAAAUUAAAACUUUCAACAACGGAUCUCUUGGUUCUGGUGUCGAUGAAGAACGCAGC